GUGCCCAGCUUUUCAGCAGCACAUAUACUAAAACUGGAGUGAUACAGAAAAGAUUAGCAUGGCCUCUGCACAAGAAUGACAUGCAAAUUCAUGAAGCAUUCAUAUCUUUA